CGCGGCCUAUCAGCUUGUUGGUGAGGUAACGGCUCACCAAGGCAUUGACGGGUAGCUGGUCUGAGAGGAUGAUCAGCCACACUGGGACUGAGACACGGCCCAGACUCCUACGGGAGGCAGCAGUGGGGAAUAUUGCACAAUGGGCGAAAGCCUGAUGCAGCAACGCCGCGUGCGGGAAGACGGCCCUAGGGUUGUAAACCGCUUUCAGCAGGGAAGAAAAUGACGGUACCUGUAGAAGAAGGUGCGGCCAACUACGUGCCAGCAGCCGCGGUGACACGUAGGCACCAAGCGUUGUCCGGAUUUAUUGGGCGUAAAGAGCUCGUAGGCGGUUCAGUAAGUCGGGUGUGAAAACUCUGGGCUCAACCCAGAGACGCCACCCGAUACUGCUGUGACUAGAGUGCGGUAGGGGAGCGGGGAAUUCCUAGUGUAGCGGUGAAAUGCGCAGAUAUUAGGAGGAACACCAGUGGCGAAGGCGCCGCUCUGGGCCGUAACUGACGCUGAGGAGCGAAAGCGUGGGUAGCAAACAGGAUUAGAUACCCUGGUAGUCCACGCCGUAAACGUUGGGCACUAGGUGUGGGUCCCAUCCAACGGGAUCCGCGCCGCAGCUAACGCAUUAAGUGCCCCGCCUGGGGAGUACG
rnacentral:rRNA from 1 species